GUCUCGCUCUCGUCACACCACUCGCAGCGAGUCCUUUCACCACCGCGGACGAUAUCACCACCCGCCACCAUCCUACCAAUCUAUACAAACAAGUGACCAUGCGUUUUCUACUUAUCUUACUGGUACUUUGCGUUGCAGUUUAUGCAGCGCCGCAGUCGAAACUGCUUUUCGCUAACAGUGAUAACAAUGGCAAGCAGAUCAUUGAGGAGGUGGUGGUGGAGUCAGUGCUGCAUGUGAAGAGUCCGUCAGCAGCGCGGCAGGCGCGCACCAACGUUCGCACCAACCUGCAGGACGGCUCCAGUGUUGCUGAAGCGAAGAACUAAUGGAAACUUAGUUAUAUAUAACCCGUGCACUUAGUGCACUUAGUUAUAUAUAGCUUUACCGUUCUAAGAUCUGUGGUUAUACUAUACUAUACAAAAGCCAAACUAGAUGUGCAAUGUUUAACAACAAACAAAUUCAAAAUGAAGGUAGAAAAUACAUUUCGUAUAAUACCUGAAUUCACUUAAAUUAUUAUUAUUUUUUUAUAAAAUGUUAUUUAAAAUAUAUUAGCCAUAUCUAAUUGUAAUGAAAUUUAUUGUCAUUAAUUUAGGAACAAGUUAAUAAAAAUGAUUAUUGGGUAUAUAACUCUUAUUUUUAAUUUGGUUGUUGAUAAAAAUUGCACAGCAGGUUUAGUGUAAAUUAUUUACACCUAGCACAUCAACAAUUCAUAUUCACAAGUUGUAAUUUAUUAAGGUUCAGUAACCAAAUUUCUAUUCCUAUUAUUAAAACACCACUGUCCGUCUGUCACCUGGCUCAUAUAUCAACAGUGUAUUUAUGUUGCUGCUGUCAAUCACACAAACUCUAAAAAAUGUCAUAAAAUGAAAAUUCGAUAUGAGGGCUCUCUUAGGCUCAAGUGCAACAAACGUGAUUUUCCCACGUUUUUACAUUUACCUCUUUAUAAUAAAAGACGCACAAUCAUGUAGAAAAUUUCAGUUACAAACUGGCCAAUUUUGCUUUGUAUUCAAUAAAAUUCCAAAUUCAGAGCAAAUCCAAGCUUAAAUAUUAAGUUUAAAGUUGAAUUUGCAAAUGCGACUACUUGAAUUGAGUACCAAGAAGUUGUGUUUCGCAUUCAUUGAGUGGGGACGUUUUUUGGUCGCUUAUUGUGCAUCCACUUUUUAAUAGGAGAUCGAUGCGUUUUUUAAAUAAUGCGCCCUUCAUGCUUUAUUCCGACUCGCGCUUGGCCGGUUUUUCCUUUUUUAUAACGACCACCGUUAAAUGAUCUACAAAAUAAAAUAAACAACAACGCAGGAGCUGAUUUUAGCAGAAUGGAUAAAAAAAUCAGUUAAAAUGAAGUGGUAAAUUGGUUGGUCAAUUUUCAGAGGGUAUUAUUGGACGCACCAAAAUCUGGAAGAUAGCUUGGAAGGAAAACAACCCACCUUCGUUUGCUUCGUUGUUUUGUCCGAUUCGCCAUAGAUAUCACAAAGUUUGAGCAGUAUGGUCGUUAAUAUAUUUUUUUCCUGGGUCCAAGGACUACUGUUAGUAGUGUGGUGUCUAUGAAUGUAUAAAAAGUUCAAAAUUAUAUAAUGUCCUGAGCUUCAUAGAUAUUUAACAAGCACGAUGCAUAAAUGUGCUAGGAUUAAAAAUAAUCUAGAUAUAAUUAUUUUUAGGUGUAUCAUUAACUAACUAGUCAUUUAAUUCUCUAUAUAAUAUUAUCGUAUGUAUUCCUAUGUGAUAAAAUAUCUAUCUUCUAUCUAUCUUCUAUACUAUAAUAAAAGAGUAGAAAUCGAG